ACAGCCCUAUCACGUUGAAGCAUCGUUUCCUGUACGAUCACCGAUGUUAAGCAACGUCGAGCUUGGCCAAUAUCAAGAUGGGUGACCGCUUGGGAAUACCAGAUGCGGUAA